UAAAAGGACCAGAAUAGCCAUAGAACAUUACAUUGCCAACAUGUAAUCUGCAUUCCUUAUUGCUGCCACCUUCCACAUUUGUUCAAAAUCAAAGAAAGGUGCAGCAGUUCUCAACGUCUUCAAAUUACAAGUCUCUAGAACAAUCACGUUGAUGGUAGCCGCUCCAUUUUCAUCAACAUUUCAGGAACACUUUCACACUCAAAAAAACAAGAAUCUUGUGAGCCCCACCAGAGAAAAUCGGUAUUAACUUCUUGUAAAUCACCAGAACAGCACACACAUAAGAAGAUUGGCCAAGAACCCAGUCCCCCCUGCAGCUAAAAGCCUGCACCUACACCCGGCAGCAAGAUCACCCAAAAACAGGAGACCCCCCAGGGCCCCCAACACACCAAGCAAGCACAAGCCCACAGUGGCAACCAAAAUUUGGAGGGAGAAAGCUAGGGAAGACGCAAACCAAUCAUACCUGGUGAGCCAAUCCCUGAGAGGACAAGAGGGAGGGAUGUCUGCCGGCCUGACACAUCCCUAGGAGCCAAAGGCCACGACACAGGAGCCCCCCACUCCGGGACGUGGCCCAAGCACCCACACAAACGUCACACCAAGGAUAGCCCCCCCGCCACCCCCACAUGAUAACUUCAGAGGCCCCCAGGCCAUCCACAUACCUCCAUUACCUACGAACCAGCACAGGCAGCGCAGUGGGAGCAAGAAGACCCCGCCUUGCCCCCAGUGCCUAACACCACCCCGAAGCAAAGCUAAGUUUGGGUGUUAGGCACCUUACACAGUCCUCUUCCCAUGCCUGCAAGGUCAAUCAUCCCGCACAUCAAGACCCUACUGAUGUUGCAUAUGUUAGGGAGGAGGUGAUGGGUGCUGGCACGAAUCGCCCUGGAGACCAGCUCCCCAACUGGCCCCCUCUUGUCACACCAGUGGAAUUAACAAAAUGUGGCAUUCAGGCAAACUAAAAUUGGCAAUACAAGCAGAUAAGAUAAAAAUUAUCUAAUUGUUUGCAAAUAUUUGCCAAUUAAACUCAUAUUUAAUUGCCUUGGGCCUUAGUAUAAAUCCUCAACAUCUUUGUAAACAAUUUCUCAGAGUUCUUUUCAUUCUCACAUAGUCAGAAAAUAGAUCAUAUUUUUUUGUUAUACUCAAACUGUAAAUACAUGUUUAAUGACACAAACAGUUAGAAAAGCAAAUAAACAGUUUGUUCCUUUUAUGCUUGGUGUAAUGAUAAAGGAUAUUGAACUAUGGGUGGCUGAGGGACAUCCACAUUUCCAAGACUGAAUUGGGCUUUUGAAAUGACAAAAAAUUGUUUAGUGUGAAAUAUAUCAAUAAAGAUAAAACUGCAACUACUUAAAUGCUAGUAAAGCUACUGUAUGUUUGAAUGAUUUUGCUCUUUCUAACCUUCAAACAGUGCUGUUCAGCUUAAACUUUUCAGCAGGUCUAAAGAAUUACAAUUGAUAAGCAUUAUUGCAUGCCAUUUUUACCCCACUUGAAGUGUUUUUAUUUUAUUUUAUUUUUUAUAAUUGUUGGACCAUGUUUUGCUGAAUAUUGGACCAUUUGCACGUUGCUGUACGCUACCAGGCCUUCUGGCAUCAUCGGCCAUUUUGUACCCCAGGAUAGUCGGCUACUUCAAAUCCCAGCGGGCACCGCGGCUGAUAUGACGGGACGUUCCAGUUCUGACAUCACCAUGGGCUAUUUAAGAAAGUGAGCCCUUUAAGGAGGUGCUUUCAGCUUGGGACCGAGACGUGGUUACUUCGCAAAUGGAGCAUCACUCUGGAGAAAAAAUUCCACGUGGACUUUCAUUCAUUCUCCCCAUUGGCCAACGAGAAAACUAAACGAAUUAAGCUUACAGGAAUAAGAAGGCUUGUACGUUUUCAACUUUACCGAUCGAAGAUGUGG